ensembl:snRNA U6 U6 spliceosomal RNA
CUGCUCGCUUCGGAAGCACAUACAUUAAAAUGGAAACAAUACAAAGAAGGUGGGCAUCACUUCUGAGCAAGGAUGACAUGCAAAUUCAUGAAGCGUUCCAUAGUUUU